rnacentral:rRNA from 1 species
AUUGAACGCUGGCGGCAGGCCUAACACAUGCAAGUCGCGCGGCGCGUCGGACGGGUGAGUAAUUACUAGGAAUCUGCCUUGUAGUGGGUGAUAAAGUCAGGAAACGGGCGCUAAUACCGCAUCCUCUCAUCUGAGCCUGGGUCGGAUUAGCUCGUUGGUGGGGUACAGGCCUACAAAGGCGACGAUCCGUAACUGGUCUGAGAGGAGGAUCAGUCCCACUGGAACGUGGACACGGGCCAGACUCCUACGUGAGGCAGCAGGGGGGAAUAUUGGACAAUGGGCGAAAGCCUGAUCCACCCAUGCCGCGGGUGUGAAGAAGGUCUUCGGAUUGUAAAGCACUUUAAGUUGGGAGGCGUUACCAACAGAAUAAGCACCGGCUAACUUCGUGCCAGCAGCCGCGGUAAUAC